rnacentral:tRNA from 1 species
GUAGCGGAUAGCUCAAAUGGCAGAGCGCCCACCUUGCCCGGAAAGGCCGACAUAUCGAGGGUUAUCGCAUAUAACUAAAACACCCUUGAUCAAACUUCUGGAGGUGCAGGUAAAAAUCCUGUUCCGCUACACCA